rnacentral:lncRNA from 1 species
AAAUCUCGGGCGACAGGCUUUGCGCGACUUGUACCGCCCGUGUAGCCGAGUUUGGGUCAUUCUUUCAGGGUUUUUUUGUUUGUCCGCGCAUCUGAGAAGUGGGUGUAGAGAGCAUGGUAAAGAUGGAAGAACUCUUUGUUGUUGUUGUUGUUAUCUGAGCUGGAGCUGCAGCAAUGAUGGAUCCUUUAACCCACUGCAUCUGGCCAGGGAUCAAACCCAUGCCUCUGCAGCAACCCAAGCUGCCACAGUCAGCUUCACCUGCCACAUCACAGCGGGAACUCUAGGGUGGAAGGAUUUUUUUUCUUUUCUUUUUAGGGCUGCACCUGCAGCAUAUGUAAGUUACCAGGCCAGGGGUCUAAUCAGAGCUCAGCUGCCCGUCUACACUGAUGCCUAUGCAGCAACAUGGAUUCGCGCCUCAUCUGCACCCUAUACCACAGCUCUCACUGAGCGAGGCCAGGAAUUGAACCCACGUCCUCAUGGAUAUUAGUCAGGUUCUUAAUCUGAAGAACCACAACAGGACCUCUGUGGGGUGAGAGAAUUCUUUCUGUCCCUAUUUUAUAGGUCUUCUCCCUCUUCUGUGUGCAAAGCACCAGUAAUAAGCCACUGUCAUCACCCUGGUGACCUGGGCUUCCUUUGCCAUGCCUCCUGAAGCUGUCAGCCCUUGGACCAUGUGCAAGGAAAAUCAAAAUGGAGUGGGCAUUAGUAAGAGAGCUCUCCAAAAUGGAGCCAGGAGGCCACUGGGACAAGGACGUGAUGAUAAACCAGUCUCAGUCCGGGCUUCUCUUGGUUCGCUCCAGCCUUGGAUGGGCUUUUCCCCUCACAUCCCAAGAUGACUACCGGAAGUUUCAGCUGCCGGCUCACACCCCAGCCCCAGCAAUGCCACAUCCGAGCUGUGUCUGCAACCUACACCACAGCUCAUAACAACGCUGGAUCCUUUAACCCACUGAGUGAGGCCAGGGAUCGAACCUGCAUCCUCAUGGAUACUAGUCAGAUUCGUUUCCGCUGUGCCACAAUGGGAACUCCUAAGGAUGGAGCCUUCUUAAUAAAAACAAAACUGGAUACUAGACCAAGAAUCUCCUUGUGAACUGCAGGCAGCUGGACCCUGAGGUUGCACCCUUGUUCAGACCCUCUGGGUUUGUUUGUUUUUUUCUCAGCUUUCCCAGCUGUGUACAAACUCUUCCUUUUAUACCUUCUAUUAUAACUGAAACAGCUAGAACAUACAAUCCCUACCUCAAAAAGGACUCUUUAAAAUUUUUUUAUUUUUUAUUUUUAUUUAUUUAUUUUUUUUGCUUUCUAGGGCCACACCCACAGCAUAUGGAGGUUCCCAGGCUAGGGGUCAAUUGGAGCUGUAGCUGCUGGCCUACACCACAGCCACAGCAACAUGAGAUCCAAGCCUCGUCUGUGAUCUACACCACCGUUCACGGCAACGCCAGAUCCUUAACCCACUGAGCAAGGCCAGGGAUCAAACCCGAAUCCUCAUGGAUACUAGUCAGGUUUGUUAACCGCUGAGCCAUGAUGGGAGCUCCAAGAAGGAUUCUUUUCUUUUGCGAAAGCAACAACAACAACAAUAAGCCCAACAAGUAGAUUUCUACUUGUUAGUAGUUGUUUUUUCUAGGAUUGGUUGACCUAAUGAUACUCAUAAUGAAAAGUCUACUGUAAAUUCUUCAAUGACGUUAAAUAUCUUUGUAUUUCAUGAAAGAUGCUAUUUCUACAUUUAUUGGACUGUUAUAUAUAUGUGUGUGAUACCUUGUUUAUUCAGCCUACAGGCAAAAACUUAGUGAUUAUGUGGGUUUUGAGAAGUCUGGCAAUAAUUCCUCAGUCUCAUGAUUGGGAUAGAAAAUGCUAAGAAAGAAGAGGUACCUUAGGUGCAAGUACAGACUGUCCUAAAAUUCAGGAGCCCCAAUUCAUAGCAGAUCUCAGAAAAAUAAGGGACUUUCCCCCUCUUGAUCUCUUUCUUCCUCAGUAUCAGUUCUGAAUCUAGAAAGAUGUUCCUUCAGAAUCCCCCAAAGAAAUAUGCAUGGUACAAGUAAUUAAGACUUGGGUUAGAACACAUUUUUGUUAUGGUAAUACUUUUAGGCUCAGUCAUGAGGGGUGAAGGUGUGAUCCAUUGUAUUCUAAAGUAGUUGAAUGCUUGGUUUAGUUCCAAGAUGGACCCGUUUAUAACAAUUUGUGUGUGUGUGUGUGUUUUUUAGGGCCGCGCCUGUGGCAUAUGGAAGUUCCUAGGCCAGGGGUCGAAUCAAAGCUACAGCUGCUGGCCUACGCCGAGGCACAGCAACUCAGGAUCCAAGCCGCAUCUGUGACCUACACCACAGCUCAUGGCAAUGCCAGAUCCUUAACUUACUGAGUGAGGCCAGGAAUCCAACCCGCAUCCUUAUGGAUCCCAGUGGGAUUCAUUAACCGCUGAGCAGUUAAAGGAACUCCCUAACAAAUUUUUAAAAAACAUAAUGGCAUUCAAAAGAAAGUGAUGCUGGAGUUCCCGCUGUGGCUCAGUAGGUUAAAAAUCCAACUGCAGCAGCUCGGAUCACUGUGGAGGCAUGGGUUCGAUCCCUGUUUCAACACAGUGGUUAAGGAUCUGGCAUCACUGCAGCUGGGGCAUAGGUAACAGCUCUGGCUCGGAUUCCAUCCCAGACCUGGGAACUUCCAUAUGCUGUGGAUGCAGCCAUAAAAAGAAAAGAAAAGACAAGAGAAAUUGAUUAGGGUUGUAAUUGUGCAACGUGAUAAAUAUAAUAAACACCGUUUAUGUUAUAUAGGAAACUUGUUAAGAGAGAAAACCCGAGUUUCCAUCACAAGUAAAAAAAGUUUUGUCUCUUUAAUUUUGUAUCUCUAUGAAAUGCAGAUAUUCACUUAACUUAUUGUGGUCAUCAUUUCAUAAUGUAUGUAAGUCUAGUUAUUAUACUGCUCACCUUAAACUUAACAUAGUACUUUAUGUCAAUUAUCUCUCAAUAAAGCUAGAGGAAAAAA